rnacentral:rRNA from 1 species
UACGAAGGGGGGCUAGCGUUGCUCGGAAUCACUGGGCGUAAAGGGUGCGUAGGCGGGUCUUUAAGUCAGGGGUGAAAUCCUGGAGCUCAACUCCAGAACUGCCUUUGAUACUGAAGAUCUUGAGUUCGGGAGAGGUGAGUGGAACUGCGAGUGUAGAGGUGAAAUUCGUAGAUAUUCGCAAGAACACCAGUGGCGAAGGCGGCUCACUGGCCCGUUACUGACGCUGAGGCACGAAAGCGUGGGGAGCAAACAGG